GGGCCUGUAGGAUAGGGGUUAUUCCGCCUCAUUUGCAAUGGCGUAACAGCUGGUAAGUUGAGGAGGUCCUGGGUUCAAAUCCCAGCCGGUCCA
rnacentral:tRNA from 1 species